GUACUAUGCUGAAUAGGCGAAGCCAGAGGAAACUCUGGUGGAGGCUCGUAGCGGUGCUGACGUGCAAAUCGCUCGUCAAAUUUGAGUAUAGGGGCGAAAGACUAAUCGAACCAUCUAGUAGCUGGUUUCCUCCGAAGUUUCUCUCAGGAUAGCAGGCCCAAACUUUAUGAUUGUUGUGUGUGGUAAAGCGAAUGAUUAGCAUACUCGGGGGCGUAACGCCUUCGGAUGAUUCUCAAACUUUAAAUGCGCACGGAUGUUGCCGCUUGGGUGGGCGGCAUCUCUAAAAACUUGGGCUUUGUGGGCCAUUUUUGGUAAGCAGAACUGGCGAUACGGGAUGAACCGUAAGUGUGGUUAAGGCGUCAAAUUGUCCGCUUAUAGAUUCCAAAAAAGGUGUUGAUUCAUCGAGACAGCAGGACGGUGGCCAUGGAAGUCGGAAUCCGCUAAGGAGUGUGUAACAACUCACCUGCCGAAUGAAUUAGCCCUGAAAAUGGAUGACGCUAAAGCGGGCAGCCGACACCACACCGUUUGGGCAAAAAUAAAUACGCUUAAAUGAGUAGGAGGAACGUGGUGGUUGUGUUGAAGCGUGCGUGCAAACGUGCGUGGAACGGCCACUAGUGCAGAUCUUGGUGUUAGUAGCAAAUAUUCAAACGAGAACCUUGAAGGGCGAAGCGGGGAAGGGUUCCACGCGAACAUUGAUUGAGCGUGGGUUAGUCGUUCCUAAGCCGCGUGGCAAUAGCUAAAAUAAACGGCGAAAGGGAAGCAGGUUGAUAUUCCUGCACACGGAUGUGGAUGCGGUGACGCAUUUUCUUGGGGCGGUGAAGCUGGCGGUGGCACUGGACAGAGUUGUCUUUUCUGUUUAACUGACUUUGACUCGUCGUGUGGAAUCCGCUUGUCGGGAGAAACACACGGGUUUGGGAAUAGCGCCGGGUUUUUCUCCGGCGUCCAGUACGCCAUCGUCGGACCUUGAAAAACUGCCUGCAGGCGCAAGCCUAAUUGAAUAAAUGAAAAACCACGCCGUGACGUACCGAUAACCGCAUCAGGUCCCCAAGGUGAACAGCCUCUGCUCGAUAUGAACAAUGCAGGUAAGGGAAGUCGGCAAAUUGGACCCGUAACUUUGGGAAAAGGGUUGGCUCUAGUGCUGCGUGGGAUACGCUGGUCUUGUGCGACCGCUGGUGUGACGCUCGUGUAUCUACUGGAAAAGCAGAUUUGCUCUUCGGAGUGGAGAUGUGGAACCGGCGGGGACUAGGCGGAUCUGCUGGUGGUUGCCUUUUCCUGCUGC
rnacentral:rRNA from 1 species